ACGAACGCUGGCGGCAUGCCCAACACCUGCAAGUCGAACGCGACCUUCGGGUCUAGUGGCGCACGGGUGCGUAACGCGUGGGAACCUGCCCUUAGGUUCGGAAUAACUCCCCGAAAGGGGUGCUAAUACCGGAUAAUGUCUUCGGACCAAAGAUUUAUCGCCUUUGGAUGGGCCCGCGUUGGAUUAGCUAGUUGGUAGGGUAAAAGCCUACCAAGGCGACGAUCCAUAGCUGGUCUGAGAGGAUGAUCAGCCACACUGGGACUGAGACACGGCCCAGACUCCUACGGGAGGCAGCAGUGGGGAAUAUUGGACAAUGGGCGAAAGCCUGAUCCAGCAAUGCCGCGUGAGUGAUGAAGGCCUUAGGGUUGUAAAGCUCUUUUACCCGGGAUGAUAAUGACAGUACCGGGAGAAUAAGCUCCGGCUAACUCCGU
rnacentral:rRNA from 1 species